rnacentral:rRNA from 1 species
UACGUAGGGUGCAAGCGUUGUCCGGAAUUAUUGGGCGUAAAGAGCGUGUAGGCGGCCGCUUAAGUCCUGCGUGAAAUCUUGCGGCUCAACCGCAAGCGGUCGUGGGAAACUGGGUGGCUAGAGUGCGGGAGAGGAGAGUGGAAUUCCUGGUGUAGCGGUGGAAUGCGCAGAUAUCAGGAAGAACACCCGUGGCGAAGGCGGCUCUCUGGAACGCAACUGACGCUGAGACGCGAAAGCGUGGGGAGCAAACAGG